rnacentral:rRNA from 1 species
UACGUAGGGGGCAAGCGUUGUCCGGAAUUAUUGGGCGUAAAGAGCUCGUAGGCGGCUUGUCGCGUCGACUGUGAAAUCCCGCGGCUCAACUGCGGGUCUGCAGUCGAUACGGGCAGGCUAGAGUUCGGUAGGGGAGACUGGAAUUCCUGGUGUAGCGGUGAAAUGUGCAGAUAUCAGGAGGAACACCGGUGGCGAAGGCGGGUCUCUGGGCCGAUACUGACGCUGAGGAGCGAAAGCGUGGGGAGCGAACAGG